rnacentral:lncRNA from 1 species
GUAAUUAUAAUUAUUAUCUUAAAGUAAUUAUAAUUUCUGAAAUAAAUGAAAUAUUAUUUAAAUGCAACUAUGAAUACAACGUUUAUGUAGCCUUGACGCGCCGAAUGCAAACUGAACCCCUCGGGCUCGGGAACAGCUAACGUUUUUUGGUCGAAAAAGCCAGAAAUUGAAGUCGAAUAGCAAAAAGAAAAAUAUACAAACAUAAAUAGGAAGUAAACUACGAUAAUUUAAAACAAAAUUUAUAAUGAGAUUGGUAUUUAGUGUUCUAAAUGAUACGAUUAAUGAUUCGAAGCGAGAGAAAAUAGUAAUAACAGCACUUCCUGUCUCGGAAAUUCCGGUCGGAUUCGCAGAAACAUGGACUUCACACGCUUAUUCCUUUAUAUGAUUUUAAGAACAAUUUUACAUAUUUUUUAAACAUCAGAAAAUAAACAAAAAUCAAACAAUAAAUAAAUAUGGGUUUCAUCUCCCCUAAAGAAUGUUCCAGAGAAAAGCAUCGUCCGCUUCUCUUCUGGCCAAAAACGUUAAAGCAAUCGUCAUUCUUUUUUUCGUUAUCAUCUCUUCGUUGCUGGCGGAUGUUUUUGUAAAUCAUAAAAGUUAUUUUCCGAAGAAUUUUCCUCAGGAAUAUGGAAUAUUCAACUGCUUCGUUGCUGCCGUACGCUGCUUGAUCCAGCUGCAUCAUUCAUGGAUGGGUCCACAAUAGCAGUAGCAACUUUUUCUGUUACCUGAGAUGAGACAGGCUUCCUUCUCUUUCAAUCUUAACGAGAAAGAAUCCAGUCGUCUCAAAAAUUUUAAUCAUUCGUCUAACUCCAAGUAGUGAUAAAAGACCUUUGCGAAUGUAUUUUAAUCGCCUAAGUUUACGUAAAUCGACUGUUGCAUUAUAUCCAUCAGUAUAAAAUAAAUUAAUAAUUGAAAUACGAUCAGGCAGAGUAAGACGCAUUUUUUACAUUAAUUUUAAAGAAAACUGUAAAGGCGAGUAUCUCAAGUGUAUUCUGCUGCUGGGAAAAAGCGAUUUAUUUAUGCAGUUUUUCUCUGCUCAGGUGCAUUUUCUUCUUAAUUUUAAAAUAAUUUUAUGGAAAUUCAGUCUGUUUUUCAAUUUUUGCAAAGGACAAAAAAUUUUAAAUUUAUUUAUUUGUGCUUUUUCUAUAUAUUUCCUGUCCAUAGCGCCAUAUUUUCCUCAUUAGUAGAUUUUGGAACUAAAUUUUUUCAUGGAAUCUUUUCCU